GGUUGAUCCUGCCAGUAGUCAUAUGCUUGUCUCAAAGAUUAAGCCAUGCAUGUCUAAGUAUAAAUGCUUUAUACUGUGAAACUGCGAAUGGCUCAUUAAAUCAGUUAUUGUUUAUUUGAUGGUACCUUACUACUCGGAUAACCGUAGUAAUUCUAGAGCUAAUACGUGCGCACAUCCCGACUCACGAAGGGACGUAUUUAUUAGAUAAAAGGCCAACCGUGCUUCUGCACGUCCUUGGUGACUCAUGAUAACCAUACGAAUCGCAUUGGCUUAGGCCGGGCGAUGUUUCAUU
rnacentral:rRNA from 1 species